GGGUGCGAUCAUACUAGCGUUAAUGCACCGAAUCCCAUCAGAACUCCGCAAUUAAGCACGCUUGGGCUAGAGUAGUACUGGGAUGGGUGACCUCUCGGGAAGUCCUAGUGUUGCACCCU
rnacentral:rRNA from 1 species